rfam:Alpha proteobacterium symbiont of Oscarella lobularis scaffold2, whole genome shotgun sequence.
UCCAUGGGGCCAAGCGCGCGCGCCCCGUGAGGCCUAGGCCCAAGCGUCGCAUCCACGACCCUUACCAAGGGAAGGAUGUACCAUG